UUCUAUUUGAAGUUGUGCUGUAUAUGCACAUUUACUCAUAAUCAACCAAAUUUAUCAUUCGCAAUGGAGGUUAAUCGCUCCAGUUUAAAGCUUUUUCUUUUGGGCUUCACACAAAGUUAUCACAACUACCUAUCUACCUACCUACCGUGGAUAGCAACAGAAACUGCCGGAAUGUUUCGUUGAAAUUUCAUAAAUGUUGCUUUACACAUAUUUGCAAAAAGGUAAAAAGUUGAUAAGCAAUAGGCGUAUACAGAAUGCCAUAGGCGGGUACUAAUUCAUGUGACGUUUAUUUGGUAUUAAAUAAUUACAUUAA